UAUUGGUUAUCCUGUGGUCACAUAAGAACGUUACAGAUAGGACACCUGAGACUUUAACAGAACAUUCCCACAUGGUACUAUUUUGGUUAUAUCAUAACGUUCCUGAUAUGACUGUAGGAAGACGUUGCAUAUUGGUUAUCCUGUGGUCACAUAAGAACGUUACAGAAAGGACAUUUGGAACAUUAAAAGAACAUUCCCACAUGGUACUAUUUUGGUCGUAUCAUAACGUUCCUGAUAUGACUGUAGGAUGACGUUCCAUAUUGGUUAUCCUGUGGUCACAUAAGAACGUUACAGAAAGGACUUUUGGAACAUUUACAGAACCAUCCUACAUGGUCCUCUGUUGGUCGUAUCAUAACGUAUUAUGUUAUACUCUCUGAAUAUAAUGAUGUAGAUUGCAAUGCAUCUUGGAAACAGUAGUCAGUUAACAGCAAAUCGUUCAAUCUGCUUUAUGAAAAGAACUACCUUUCCCAUAAUGCAACAGCUUACAAGAGGACCCGGAAGUCACAUGAAAUUCAAACUGCCACACUUGACGACGCGUGAUCUUUGUUUUGUCUUUAUAUAAUACUGUAAGAAGUCAUGUACCACACAUUGUCAAACCUGAAGAAGUGUAUCUUCCUGCAAUCUGGGUAAAGAAGGUGUAACUUUAACACACAUUAUUUAAAAACAUAAGAGUCAUGUUCAUUAUUUAUCUUUGUGUAAUUUGAUUUAAAUUACAACAUUGAAUGUAUUGAAUUUGUUAAAUUUUGUAUGAGGUAAUUUCUUGUAUGGGUUAAUUUGCCUAAUAUUAGUAUUAGAUACAAAAGCACAAGUGUUUUGGCUUAAAAGUGACAGCAUGUUUUAAAAAUGUUUCAGGUAGUGGGGCUUGGAUUGUUUGAAGUAGUAAAGAAUAAUGGCAAAUAAUGAAGCAGGCAAUAAAAAAUACUUGACCAAGAAGUUUUGGAGCUUAACAUUUUUGUAGUUUGUAAUUGCUUUUUUCUUUAAGUUGGUAAUUUGAAAAUCUUUCUGGAAGUCUGAAAUCUUCCUACAUAUUUUUUUCACAUCUCGAUUUGAAUGUUAAAAAUCUUAGUUCUUGGAUUUGUGAUGUUUUGUAAUAUGUGUUUUUGCCCUUACUUAUGCAUUUUAUGUAAAUAUAUUUUUAACUGGAUUUGUAUUUGUAUGCUCUUAUUCUGCAGGCUCCAGACCUGGGGCCUAUAACAUGAAGCUGGUUUAGUUGGUUAGCCAGCUUUGUUUAGGAUUAGUUUGUGCAAAUCCUGGGUUUUGGGUACCAUGAAAAUAGCUUUUACCAACAAGGCCUGCACAUUGGCUUGGUUUUGUCAACCUGAAACUAAUCCUGUAACCCUGAGUUUGUUGAACCAUUUUCAUGGUACGGGCCCCUGGAGAUUGAAGUUCCUAAAGGUUGAUGUUUAUCAAGCUUGUGACCUUAUCACAUGGUGUUAUUUUUUUACAUUUAUAUAUCUAAUACACAUUUGCACAUCUGUAAACAUAUAUUUAAUAUUUUGUGGGCUAUUUUUUAUUUUAUUUAACCAGUUGUUGUAUAUUGAAAUAUGUUACAUUUUAUGCACUCCAAAUGUAAAUGUUUUGUUUUAAUUGCAUCUUUAUUGUUUAAAACAAUUUAAUUAAUGUGGGUUUUUGUUAGCUUUUAUGUUAUUCUUGUAUUUUUUGGCUAUUUAUUUGUUUUUGUUUUUUAUUAUCCUUCUGUUAAUUUGCCAGAUUUUGACCUUCUAUUUGUUUUUCCUGUAAUCUCACUUCAUUUGGACUUCAUUUCCCAUAAUCCUUUUCACUCUCUCACCUGAACUGUGUAUGUUAUUAUCCUCACCUGACAGUCAUCCCCCUCAUCACUCCAUUGUCUAAAUACCCUGCUUUUCCCUUUGUCUAGGUCAGUUCUUGUUUAUAGUGAUGUGUUGUGUGUUUUGCUGUUUACCAGUUUCCAUGUUCCUUGUUUUAUAUUAAUUAAAGAUUAUCAUUUUGGAUUCAU